GUGUGUUUUUGCAACUAUGAAAUGAAUGGUUUCCUGGGAAAAAUUGUGACUUUGUAUAACUAUUGUUGAAACCAGAGUAACUUAUAUUUCACUUGCUAUUCUUAAAUUAUUAAAAUUUUCAGAAGUCAGUGAUACAGACAUACUAUUUUGCAAUGCUAAUCUGUUUGAGUCUUUGGAGAAAGUGGUUUCAUUAUAGGUGCAUAAUGCACUCUUAAUAUUUUAAACAAAUAGUUCACUCUUCCAUUUAAGGGAUAGCAGUUCCUUGUAUAAAAUGACUGGAUGUGUAUAAAGGAAUUAUGUUGUCAUGUGCCUUUAACCAGCUUUAGUAAUUACUAUAAUCUCAUAUUUAUGAUAGUUUUGUUAGGUGACAGGACCAAAUGAAAAUAUUUUAUGUUUUCUCAUCACUUUAGAUUUUAUCGUUGUGUAAAUUACUGGGUUUUUAGCAUUUCCUAAUAUGAAGUUUUAAUCAUUUUUAAGUAUACAUAUUUUUUUCUGUAUCAUUUAAAUAAAAUAUUUUUAUAACU
rnacentral:lncRNA from 1 species